UUGGUCCUUUAGCCUGUUUUUGCAAUUCAACUUUUUUUUUUUUUUUUUUUAGGCUUUAUCUAGAAAAUACAGCUGAAGUCCCUGAUGGUGGGACCAUGGACAUCAGCAGGUUUCAGCAGGUCAUCUAGUCCUUUUUACACCAGAAAAGAAAGGGAAAGCCCAGCAGCCUGGAUGCUUAAACUGAAGCAGAAUUAAGAAAAGCAAGGAAAUCUGAUAAAAAUUACUGAAGUCUACUUGCAGAAAAUGAAUACCAUUUACCUUGGAUUAACUUGGAAAGAAGCAGGACAGUGUUUAUUGGGUAAGGCAAGUUAAUACCUUCACAAAUAGUAACCUCCUGCAAAUUGUGGAUACCGUCACAUAUACAAAUCCAGUAAAAAAGAUAAACAAAGAGAGGGGAAGCAUCAAUUUGUCAAGAAUGCAUUCCUAAAGAGAUGAGGGACCACAGCUGAAGAAGAGCUCUAGGUCUGUUUUAAGUCUGCUUUUUCUCUCUAUUUUCCUGGAGCUGGCAUGUGGCACAGAUUCAUAUCUGUCUUCAUGUCCAUAUAAAUGUAUUUUUUAAAAUCCAGGUGUGAUUUUUUUAAAUCAAAAUCCUAUGUCACGACUUCCAAGUGUUACUCUGGAAAAAAAAUUUUUGUUCAUAACAAAAGGUAGUGUUAGAAGGAAAAUUGAGGGGAUUUAAAAAAAAAAACAAAACAUAUAUAGAAGUUGGUCAGAUGAAUGUAGAGUCUUGAACCUAAAAGGGAAAUGCAACAUCCAGUAAGCGAUGUUUCCCUGCUGCUUAAAGUCUUUUUCAUCAUCGUAAUAAUUUCAUCUGGUUUCAGUCACAGACUGAAGUGCAUGCUCUAGUUACCUCAGUAAGUCUUUUUUCUGGGAACAUUAUAAUAAGGACUGCAGUACAUUUAACCUGUCUUGCCUUACUUGAACUUUGAACCACUGCAUGCUGUGGAGCUGUCAGCAAAAAGCCUGUCCCAAAUGGACAAAAGCUUCUCACUUCUUCCUCUCCUGUCUCUCAGAAUAAGUUGUCUCCAGGUCAACACCUGCAGGUCCCUGGGGAAAGAUCACCACACUCAGAUCACUCCUGAGCAGACUGCUGGGAGGAAGAGGACCAGGAACAGAUGCUGAUCCUGUUCUGUGAUUUUGGCUUUUUGUUUUGGCUUUUUUUGUUUGGCUUUUUUGGUUUUUUGUUUGUGAUUUUCUGGGAGUCCUGUCUGAAAACAGAAUCUGGCUUAAACAGUAUCUUUGAGGGAUUUCUCUGUUUUGUUAGUGUUUUGUAAAGCCUAACUUUGUCUAUUACUCUUCUACUUCAGUUUGUGUUUAUUGUUUUUCCAGCCAAACUGAAGAAUUAGUUCUUUGCCCAACCCAAGUGCUACUCACAGGAUGGAGGAGCAGAAGAGAAAUGGAAAGGAGAAUUAAAGCCUGAAAAAAAAUUUUACUCCUAGAGAAGUUUCCAUGGAGAAUCUCAUGGUGUGUCUGUAUCCUGAUGAGUACAGACAGACUGAAGCUCCCUUUCAUGAGCAGCUCCAGACUUGAAAUAUGAUUUGAUUCAGAGGAUUCAUUCAGAUAAGUACAGGAUCUUGAGUCUGGGAGACCACUGGGUCAUAUUAGACCAUAGCUAAUCCUGAGCCAUCAAACCUGUUGUAAAUGCAUCUGAAAUUCCAAUCAAAUGAGGAGCCUGAGUUAUGAUCUUAGCUAGGAAUCUUAACUUUCCUGCCUCAGGUGUAGGGUCCCAGUCCUUGCAUGAGGGCAAGCUAUCCCUCUUUUUUGUCUUUUUUUUGUCUUCAUGUUGCAGAGUGGGACUGCUAUUCAUCUGGAAUAAUGGUGAAAUCACAUCUAUUCCCAUCAACUGAGUUUUCCCCUAAAAUCUGUAGAGACAGACCCUAGGGGAAAAAUGAAGCCAUACUUCUGCAAGAAGCAGACAUUUGAAGCUCAUUAUUUUCCUACACCUUGAGCAUCAUCUUCACAGAAAAACACACUCCAGGUAAAUUUUAACUGAACUGCACUCUGGACUGCUGUCUUUUUGAGCACAGCUCAUAAAUAUUACUGUGGAAAUGGGAGAUUUGACACUUGAGACACAGUCUGUAUUUGACAUUGCCCUGUUUUGGUGGAUGUUUGGCCUGUUGGAGAGAACAGAGCCCACAGUCUUGUUAGGAGCUUGAUUAACAACCAGCAUUAAUGCAUGACCAGGCUGCCAUGUACCAUGGCAAUCAUUCCAUUCCUCUGUACUGACUACAUGACCCCAGCAACAGAAACACUGCUAAGUGCCGAGAGCAGCUAAAAUAGAAAUAACCCAGAAAUGGAAAAGCUGAGAGAGUGGCACAGGAUUUUUCCCACUGUUUUGCUAAUGAAUCUUCACCAAACUCCUUGCCAGAAAAUUUUGAGCAGGUUUGAAACCUGCUGACUCUGAAUCUGAAUUGUGGCAAGGCCUAAAGACCAUGGUGGGGCUGGAAAAUCAGAGUGAAUAUCAUCUCCUCAUGGUUUAGGUUGCUUUGAUAAUGUUUUUGUUUUUUUUGUUUUUUCCUUGGACAUGUGCCUUUAUGCAGUGAAAAUAAGUUACUUGGUUAUCAGAAAACUUGUUUGAAGCAAACCAGAAAUACAUGAGUGUGUGGACCAGAGGUUGGUGUUUGCCCUGGGCUGCACUUCACAAACUCAUGGUCAGUGUCAUGGAGCCAGAACUCACUCCUGAUCACAGAAUAUCCUGAGUUGGAAGGGAUUCUCUAGGACUAUUGAGUUCAAGCACUAGCACAGGUCCACCUUCAAGGAUCCCACCACAUGCCUGAGUGUGUUGUACAAAUGUUCCUUUAACUCAUCCAGGCCUCGUGCUGUGACCCUUCCCUGGGAACCUGUUCAGUGCCCACACACCCUCUUGGGGAAGAACCCAUUCCCAAUAUCCAACCUAAACCUCCCCUGACACAACUUUGACCAUUCAUUUUAGUCCUGUUCCUGGUCAAAGAGAGCAGAGAUCAGUGCUUGUCCCUCUGAUGUCCCUUGAGAGGAAGUUGCAGACCCCAGUGAGGUCUGAGCUAUCUCCUUUUGUCCCAGCUGAACAAGCCAAGUGGCCUCAGACACUCCUUGUAUGCAAAGGAGUAUACAAGAGUAACAAAAAAACCACCUUAAAUAUUUUUUCCUGUCCAUACUACACAUCCUUUGUGUACAAUCUGAACUAGGUUUCUUGCCCUGGGUUCAGGUCUCUGCUUUCUGUUGGGAACCAUCAUAAUCCUGUUAAUUUUGAAUGCAGUUCAGACAAAGUGCACGCUGAUGCAGGCUUAACUUUGUAAUGACACAUAUAAACUCCUCGGAUGAUGCCCAGAAAAUACCCAGGGAACCUUUAAAGACUGACAACUUCAUAGUCUGGGCUUUCUGCUGUGCUGAGAGAUGGUCUCUCCUGUGGCAUACUUGUGGGCAUGAGUUCAGCACUGAGUCAGAUGGAGGAGAUCCAGCAGCUGAAUCACCAAUGCCAGCAUCUGAUGUCUACCUGCCUGCUAAGUUUACCCAGGCUUAGCCUGGGAGGUCUGCUGGGCACAAACCCCAUCACAGAAGAUGUGUUGGAGCACUCCUCAAGCUCCUCCCCUCAGCUCCAGGAAAAUAACUUUCAAGAUUAAAAUACUGGAAACCCUCUAUAUGCUCCAGGAAUGGUAGUUUUGUUUUCAGUUCUCAUGCACAGCUGAGAAUGGAGCCCUUUAAGCUUUUGUUUGUUGAUUAUAACAGGAUGGACUGUUAUAUUCUUCUCUGGAGACACUUUCACUUUGAGUUACAGAUUGUGGAGAGAUACUGCACUACAGACCAACUGUGAAAGCUUAUUUUCCUUAUCCCACAGCAAUAAAUGCAUUCCAUAAUUGCAAUUAAAGAUGCAGUUGGGGGCUAUAGCUAAAUGAGUGUCAGUCCUCCAAACAUGUUGGCUUUUACUUUAAGAAAGGGCAGAGGUGUUCUGUAUUUUGGCAGUGCUUGUAAGCCUCCUUGUGCCAAGAUGGACCCACUGAAGCUGGAGAGGUGUUGCCUUCAACCAAGCUGUAAUGUCUUAGCAUGGCAAACUGUCUUGUAUUUUGUAAGAGCUCUUCUUGGUAUCCAUUAAAUCAGGCUUGAGAGACAGGGGUAGUGUUAGUCACCAGCAGUUAACACAGACCUAAAUUAUGUUUGUAUUGGUGUGCAAAUUUAAACUUGAAGUUGUGCUGAUAACUUGCAAUAUGCAGCUUAUAUUUGCAGGGUUCAUAGGUGGAUUGGUUUAUCAAAUAAGGGGAAUUUUUCUGUUACACAUUUCAGAAUGAUUGUGUGGAAGGGAGUCUAAGGACAGUCUGCCUUUCACUCCUUAUUUAACAUUGUCUGAUGCAGCUCCUGUUGUCUUGACUAUGUGACAGCAAAAGCCCCACAUGAAUUCCCAAAUCCUUGUUAAAUUGGCAGUGUCUCAGUCCUGUAACUCUCCUUGUCCAGCCAAAAAAACAUCCAAAACCAAACCAUUUUCAAAACUUCAGUGACAUGUCACCAGUUCAACCAAGGUUUCUGAGUUUGCUGAGUCUGAAAUGACACUUCUGUCCUGCAACCCUAGGCAUUAAUUUCAAUAAAUGCUAUCAGAUUGGCAAUGAAAAGUCAAAAGUUGAUGGAGAAAGACAGAUACAUUGCAUUAGAAUAUCUAAGUAUUAUGCAGAGUGUUCUUGUUUUUAAUGAUGAUAUCAGGAAAUGUUUCCGUUUCAGAGUCCACAUGGAAAGAAUUUGUCUAAAAAUGUAGGGGGAAUCUCAUAAAAAAUUCUGCUUCCACAUUAAAAUCUGCAUCUAUUUUCCCAGCUAAGCUAUUUCUGAAGGAUACAGGAAGAGACAGAUGAUGUAAGGAAAGAGGAGUUUGUUUUAUAAAGUGAUAUCCACUAAUGCACAUGUGUGUUUGUGUGCUAUUAGUGCUGAAAAUAACUUUUACCCCUGAGAUAAAAGUUCAUUUAUAAAAAAUGAAGACAGGCAAGCAGAUCCAUAUGUAUCCAAGUCAGAUCACUUAUUUUCAAUGAAAAAAAUUAUAAUAAACAUUUUUAUGGAAUGUAAAGCUCUGGACUUCCAGUUUUCCCUCAUUUUGCCAAACUCAAGCCCACCUUAUUGCUGUGCCCAGUGUGAACAAAGGCAGGGAUUUACUUGUUACACACAGGCUCAAUCCAUCCAAGAUUUACAACCAAACUCUUUCCUUUACCAGAAUGCUUUCUCAGGUAAUAUAAUUUUUUUCUUCUUGGAGCUAUUUUGGCUGGUGCUUAAAUAAGCAGAAAUAUCAUCUUGGAUUUGAAAAAUACCUCAGCUGCUCGAGCUCAUAAUCCUGUGUGUGUCCUGUGCCAGUUGUCACUGUGCUGGAUGCUGGAGGGUGUGGGCUGUGCUGCUCUGGUGGGGCUGUAUGUGUUCGCUGCAGUGAGGACCUGACUCCUUUCAACAGCUGCUGCCGUUAUGUACUCAGAUAACAUCACAGCCUUUACAUUGCUUUGUUUGCACAGUUUUUGCUAUUAAAGUAUAAAAAUCUCCCA